UACGGAGGGUGCAAGCGUUGUCCGGAAUCACUGGGCGUAAAGGGCGCGUAGGCGGCUCGGUAAGUAGGGGGUGAAAUCCUGCGGCUUAACCGCAGGGCUGCCUUCUAAACUGUCGAGCUUGAGCACGGUAGAGGCAGGUGGAAUUCCCGGUGUAGCGGUGGAAUGCGUAGAGAUCGGGAAGAACAUCGGUGGCGAAGGCGGCCUGCUGGGCUGUUGCUGACGCUGAGGCGCGACAGCGUGGGGAGCAAACAGG
rnacentral:rRNA from 1 species